CAAUUACAGUGAAAUAUGUGUAUAUUAAUUAAUAAUAAUUGUAUAUUUACCAAAAAACACAGGUUCAUAGCAUUCGCCAGUGAAAUCUUAUAGGGAUCCUGACUCUUGAACUGCACUGUUCAGAUGAAUAAGAGAAGUGACCCCAACCCCACUCCAAGUUAAAUGACCAUUUUGAAACAUUGUUUCUUAGGAAUGACAUCGUACUUGCAUUUUGUGGGGGCUGCCUUCCUCAACCACAUUGUCGAGCAGAGAGCCACUCUUGACAAAUGGGUCU